rnacentral:tRNA from 1 species
GCGCAGCUGGGCGGCGAGGGCCGCCCGGUCGGCGGCCGGGUGGGUCAGGCUGGUUCCGCCCAGCGCGGCGGC